rnacentral:misc_RNA from 1 species
AAGACUAUAGACCUGCGGAGUACCUGCGGAGGGAUCAUUAUAGAAUUGUUCGAAUCCAUACGGGCAUUUUCUAAAAAUCCGUAUCCACACCGGUAGGGUUUUUUUUUCUCUCCCUUUGGGGGAAAAAACUAAACCUUUACCGUAGGGUUCCUCACUCGCUUUUCGGAGUGGGUGUGGUUCCCGUCUGACCCAUGCCUAUAAUUUUAUUUUGUCUGAACUUGUUUAUAAUAAAUAAUAAAC